UACGGGGGGAGCAAGCGUUGUUCGGAUUUACUGGGCGUAAAGGGCGCGUAGGCGGCCACCGCAAGUCGACUGUGAAAUCUCCGGGCUUAACCCGGAAAGGUCAGCCGAUACUGCGGGGCUAGAGUGCAGAAGGGGCAACUGGAAUUCUCGGUGUAGCGGUGAAAUGCGUAGAUAUCGUGAGGAACACCUGCGGCGAAGGCGGGUUGCUGGGCUGACACUGACGCUGAUGCGCGAAAGCUAGGGGAGCGAACGGG
rnacentral:rRNA from 1 species